rnacentral:sRNA from 1 species
AGCUCGACCGGGUCGACGGCCCUGCUGGUGAGCAGGUAGUCGCGCAUGACGAUGGCGUGCCUGCCCUC